CAGCACCUCAAGUGGUCAGGAUGAUUAUUGGGCCUAAAGCAUCCGUAGCCGGCGCUGUAAGUUUUCGGUUAAAUCUGUACGCUCAACGUACAGGCUGCCGGGAAUACUGCAGCGCUAGGGAGUGGGGGAGGUAGACGGUACUCGGUAGGAAGGGGUAAAAUCCUUUGAUCUAUUGAUGACCACCUGUGGCGAAGGCGGUCUACCAGAACACGUCCGACGGUGAGGGAUGAAAGCCGGGGGAGCAAACCGGAUUAGAUACCCGAGUAGUCC
rnacentral:rRNA from 1 species